GUCAGAUAGAAAGAGCAGUGGUAAAACAUUCAGUCCUGAGAGCAGGAAGGAGAGAGACGAGAGAAAUGAGGAUCUCACGCUGAAAUCUGCCCCUCUGCAGCCAGGAGCCCCGGGUCUCCAUCUUCUAGUCAGCACAUCCUGCACUUCCUCCCGGACUCUGUGCUGCUGUCAGGGUCUCCACACCCCAGAAAUUUUUCACUGGACAACACUCCAGCAGCAACAGCUUCAGCAGCCACUGGUGCUUUAGUACCUCAAACCAAGUGCAGAAGCAGAGCAGGAGACUCGGGACAACAGUAGGAUGGAGGGCAGCAUUAAAAUGGACCCUGUUCCUACUAGUCUGCGUAGGACGUCAGCCAUGCCUGGACCUCUACUCUCAGACCCUCUGGAGAAGCUGCACAGCCAGACGGACUCUUUCCUCACUGCAGCCCGGCUCGUCCGUGGAGGAUGGACGGAGGAAGGGAAGAAGACAGGGCGGCAGUUUUCCUAUUUCAACUACUCAGCACGUCAGCCCCCUCUCUCUAGGUCACACGGAAAUCAGGGUCCAAAAUGUGCUGAGGUUUGCCUGAAGGACCCCAAAAGCAUGUGGGCUCCCCUCUCGAACAGCAGGAGGACGGCUGAGGACAAAGAGAUAUGCUCUGAAAGAAAGGCAAAAGAAGCAGAACAGACAACUGGUGGUGCAUUCUCAGCUAACAGACAAGCAGGAAGACAGACUGGUCUCCGCAGUCAGGCAGGAGGUGUUUGUGUCUGGGCGUCCGGCUGCCGCACCACAUACAGACAGUUCAGAAAAUUCAGGGCCCCGAAACUACCAGUCAUUGCUGAGAUGUAGACUAGCACCAGAAAGGACAAUGAACUAAAGACAGGGCACUUGGUUAAGAUAAGAGUACAGUAGAAUCUGUCUAGACUUUAAUCAAACCUCAUGUUCAGUGAAGGACUAUGAUGGCAUGAAUACUCUUGUUGUGAUUAUGUGAUUAAAUGGAUGAUAUUAUGUGUUGAUGCUGAGUUUGUUCAUUAAA